rnacentral:rRNA from 1 species
UACGGAGGAUGCGAGCGUUAUCCGGAUUUAUUGGGUUUAAAGGGUGCGUAGGCGGGCUGGUAAGUCAGCGGUAAAAAUGCGGUGCUCAACGCCGUAGUGCCGUUGAAACUGCCGGUCUUGAGUGAGCGAGAAGUAUGCGGAAUGCGUGGUGUAGCGGUGAAAUGCAUAGAUAUCACGCAGAACUCCGAUUGCGAAGGCAGCAUACCGGCGCUCAACUGACGCUGAAGCUCGAAAGUGCGGGUAUCGAACAGG